CGAGUUUGAUCCUGGCUCAGAACGAACGCUGGCGGCGUGGCUAAAGCAUGCAAGUCGCACGGGAAAUCCGGCUUCGGCUGGAAAGUACAGUGGCGAAAGGGCGAGGAAUGCAUGGGUUACGUAUCUCGAGCAUGGGGAUAGCUGCGGGAAACUGCAAUUAAUACCCAAUAAUACCAGCAAUGGUCAAAGGCCGGGGACCCCUUCGGGGACCUGGCGGCCCAGGAGCGGCCCAUGUCCUAUCAGCUAGUUGGUGAGGUAACGGCCCACCAAGGCAACGACGGGUACCGGGACUGAGAGGUUGGCCCGGCGCAUUGGGACUGAGACACUGCCCAGACUCCUACGGGAGGCUGCAGCAACGAAUAUUCCGCAAUGGGCGAAAGCCUGACGGAGCGACGCCGCGUGUAGGAAUAAGUCCUUCGGGAUGUAAACUACCGUCAGGGGCUGCCAAGCGACCGGAGUGAACAAUUCCGGAAGUUGAGGAGCCCCAGAGGAAGCCACGGCUAACUUCGUGCCAGCAGCCGCGGUAAGACGAAGGUGGCAAGCGUUGUUCGGAAUCACUGGGCUUAAAGCGCACGUAGGCGGUUUACCAAGCGUCUUGUGAAAUCCCCCGGCCCAACCGGGGAACUGCUGGGCGAACUGGUAGACUUGAGGCAGGUAGGGGCGCGUGGAACUCUUGGUGGAGCGGUGGAAUGCAUAGAUAUCAAGAGGAACGCCGGAGGCGAAGGCGACGCGCUGGGCCUGUCCUGACGCUGAGGUGCGAAAGCCAGGGGAGCAAACGGGAUUAGAUACCCCGGUAGUCCUGGCCCUAAACGAUGUGCACUAGGUUGGAGUCACUCUGACGUGCCUCCGGCCGAAACGAAAGCGUUAAGUGCACCGCCUGGGGAGUACGGUCGCAAGGCUAAAACUCAAAGGAAUUGACGGGGGCUCACACAAGCGGUGGAGCAUGUUGCUCAAUUCGAUGCAACGCGAAGAACCUUAUCCUGGGCUUGACAUGUACGAGCCCUUCCCUGGAAACAGGGGUAGGUGUGGCUUCGGGCCAGUAAGCGUACACAGGUGCUGCAUGGCUGUCGUCAGCUCGUGUCGUGAGAUGUCGGGUUAAGUCCCAUAACGAGCGAAACCCUUGUCGCUAGUUGCCAGCGGGUAAUGCCGGGGACUCUAGCGAGACUGCCGGUGUCAAACCGGAGGAAGGCGGGGAUGACGUCAAGUCCUCAUGGCCUUUAUGCCCAGGGCUGCAAACGUGCUACAAUGGCCGUGACAAAGCGAAGCAAAACCGCGAGGUCGAGCAAAUCGCAAAAAAACGGCCCCAGUUCAGAUUGGAGUCUGCAACCCGACUCCAUGAAGUCGGAAUCGCUAGUAAUCGCGUAUCAGCACGACGCGGUGAAUGUGUUCCUGAGCCUUGUACACACCGCCCGUCAAGUCAUGGGAGCCGGGAGCACCCGAAGUCGCCCUACCUCAAGGGUGCCGAAGGUGAGUUCGGUGACUGGGACUAAGUCGAAACAAGGUA
rnacentral:rRNA from 1 species